UAAACCGUAUUGUAAACUGUAGAAACAUUUUCCUGGCACGCCGGAUUAAUAAGUCCUUUGGAACAAGGCAUCAUGGAGGGUGAGAAUCCCGUCUUUGAUCCGAGUAGUUGUCUUUUGUGAUAUGUUUUCAAAGAGUCAGGUUGUUUGGGAAUGCAGCCUAAAUUGGGUGGUAAAUCUCACCUAAAGCUAAAUAUUUGCGAGAGACCGAUAGCGAACAAGUACCGUGAGGGAAAGAUGAAAAGAACUUUGAAAAGAGAGUUAAACAGUAUGUGAAAUUGUUAAAAGGGAACCGUUUGGAGCCAGACUGGUUUGACUGUAAUCAACCUAGAAUUCGUUCUGGGUGCACUUGCAGUCUAUACCUGCCAACAACAGUUUGAUUUGGAGGAAAAAAUUAGUAGGAAUGUAGCCUCUCGAGGUGUUAUAGCCURCUAUCAUACUCUGGAUUGGACUGAGGAACGCAGCGAAUGCCWUUAGGCGAGAUUGCUGGGUGCUUUCGCUAAUAAAUGUUAGAAUUUCUGCUUCGGGUGGUGCUAA
rnacentral:rRNA from 1 species